AGGUGAUGUGGACAGUCCUGAAGAAGAAACUUGAAGCUCUCCCAACCAUCAUAUAGGUUCUCAUCUAUCCUCUGAUUGAAGCUUAAAAUCUCACUGCAUAGUCU
rfam:Capsicum annuum cultivar Zunla-1 chromosome 12, whole genome shotgun sequence